rnacentral:rRNA from 2 species
UGGCUCAGAUUGAACGCUAGCGGGAUGCCUUACACAUGCAAGUCGAACGGCAGCACGGACUUCGGUCUGGUGGCGAGUGGCGAACGGGUGAGUAAUGUAUCGGAACGUGCCUAGUAGCGGGGGAUAACUACGCGAAAGCGUAGCUAAUACCGCAUACGCCCUACGGGGGAAAGCAGGGGAUCGCAAGACCUUGCACUAUUAGAGCGGCCGAUAUCGGAUUAGCUAGUUGGUGGGGUAACGGCUCACCAAGGCGACGAUCCGUAGCUGGUUUGAGAGGACGACCAGCCACACUGGGACUGAGACACGGCCCAGACUCCUACGGGAGGCAGCAGUGGGGAAUUUUGGACAAUGGGGGAAACCCUGAUCCAGCCAUCCCGCGUGUGCGAUGAAGGCCUUCGGGUUGUAAAGCACUUUUGGCAGGAAAGAAACGUCAUGGGCUAAUACCCCGUGAAACUGACGGUACCUGCAGAAUAAGCACCGGCUAACUACGUGCCAGCAGCCGCGGUAAUACGUAGGGUGCAAGCGUUAAUCGGAAUUACUGGGCGUAAAGCGUGCGCAGGCGGUUCGGAAAGAAAGAUGUGAAAUCCCAGAGCUUAACUUUGGAACUGCAUUUUUAACUACCGAGCUAGAGUGUGUCAGAGGGAGGUGGAAUUCCGCGUGUAGCAGUGAAAUGCGUAGAUAUGCGGAGGAACACCGAUGGCGAAGGCAGCCUCCUGGGAUAACACUGACGCUCAUG